rnacentral:rRNA from 1 species
GCGCACCAGGCGCGAAACCUUCGCAAUGCGGGAAACCGCGACGAGGGACCCCAGUGCCUACGCUCAGCGUAGGCUGUUCCCGAGCCUAGAAAGCUCGGGGAGUAAGGGCUGGGUAAGACGGGUGCCAGCCGCCGCGGUAAUACCCGCAGCCCGAGUGGUGGCCACUAUUAUUGGGCCUAAAGCGUCCGUAGCCGGCCCGGUAAAUGCCUGGGUAAAUCGUGAGGCCUAACCUCACGAAUUCCGGGUAGACUGCCGGGCUAGGGACCGGAGGAGGGAGAGGGUACUCCAGGGGUAGGGGUGAAAUCCUGUAAUCCCUGGAGGACCACCGGUGGCGAAGGCGCUCUCCUAGGACGGGUCCGACGGUGAGGGACGAAAGCCAGGGGAGCGAACCGGAUUAGAUA